GGGGGAAUAGCUCCUCAUUAGAGCACAGGACUGGCAUUCCUGAGGCCCUGGGUUCAAACCCCCAGCAGCACCC
rnacentral:tRNA from 1 species